AUUGAACGCUGGCGGCAGGCUUAACACAUGCAAGUCGGACGGUAACAGGAGGAAAGCUUGCUUUCUUUGCUGACGAGUGGCGGACGGGUGAGUAAUGCUUGGGAAUCUGUUUUAUGGAGGGGGAUAACUACGGGAAACUGUAGCUAAUACCGCGUAAUAUCGAGAGAUUAAAGUGUGGGACCGUAAGGCCACACGCCAUAGAGUGAGCCCAAGUGGGAUUAGGUAGUUGGUGGGGUAAAGGCCUACCAAGCCGUCGAUCUCUAGCUGGUCUGAGAGGAUGACCAGCCACACUGGGACUGAGACACGGCCCAGACUCCUACGGGAGGCAGCAGUGGGGAAUAUUGCACAAUGGGCGCAAGCCUGAUGCAGCCAUGCCGCGUGAAUGAAGAAGGCCUUCGGGUUGUAAAGUUCUUUCGGUGGUGAGGAAGGUCGUAAUGUUAAUAGCAUUAUAAUUUGACGUUAGCCACAGAAGAAGCACCGGCUAACUCCGUGCCAGCAGCCGCGGUAAUACGGAGGGUGCGAGCGUUAAUCGGAAUAACUGGGCGUAAAGGGCACGCAAGCGGAUACUUAAGUGAGGUGUGAAAGCCCUGGGCUUAACCUAGGAAUUGCAUUUCAUACUGGGUAUCUAGAGUAUUUUAGGGAGGGGUAGAAUUCCACGUGUAGCGGUGAAAUGCGUAGAGAUGUGGAGGAAUACCGAAGGCGAAGGCAGCCCCUUGGGGGAAUACUGACGCUCAUGUGCGAAAGCGUGGGGAGCAAACAGG
rnacentral:rRNA from 1 species